GACAGUUCUUCGGGGAUGGGUGAAAGACCCUAUCGGUAGUAAAGCCCCUCACGGGGCCAAGCCUACGAAUCCGCCACAGGCGGAUUGAAUCCGUGAAAUUCGGAUGCCGACGGUAAGGCGCAUGGCGCCACAGUCCGGAUGAUAGAAGACUGCA
rnacentral:ncRNA from 2 species